CCUACGGGAGGCAGCAGUGAGGAAUCUUUGUCAAUGGACGAGAGUCUGAACCAGCCAAGUAGCGUGAAGGAUGACUGCCCUAUGGGUUGUAAACUUCUUUUAUAUGGGAAUAAAAUGUUCCACGUGUGGGAUUUUGUAUGUACCCUAUGAAUUCGGAUCGGCUAACUCCGUUCCAGCCGCCGCUGUAAUACGGAGGCUCCGAGCGUUAUCCGGAUUUAUUGGGUUUAAAGGUAGCGUAGAUGGGUUGUUAAGUCAGUUGUGAACGUUUGCGGCUCAACCGUAAAAUUGCAAUUGAUACUGGGAGUCUUGAGUACAGGUGAGGUAGGCGGAAUUCGUGGUGUAGCGGUGAAAUGCGUAGAUAUAUGGAGGAACACCAGUGGCGAAGGCGACGAGCUGGUCUGCAACUGACGCUCAGUCCCGAAAGCGUGGGGAGCAAAUAGGAUUAGAUACCCCUGUAGUC
rnacentral:rRNA from 1 species